GUGUUGCUGGCCUCUAGGGGCAUGUGCACGCUUCACUAGGUCUUUCAACCACCUGUGAACUUUUGAUAGAUCUGUGAAGUCGUCCUUCAAGUCGUCAGACUUGGUUUGCUGGGAUUUAAACGUCUCGGUGUGACAACGCAGUCUAUUUACUUAACACACCCCAAAUGUAUGUCUACGAAUGUCAUUUAAUGGGCCUUGUGCCUAUAAACCAUAAUACAACUUUCAACAACGGAUCUCUUGGCUCUCGCAUCGAUGAAGAACGCAGCGAAAUGCGAUAAGUAAUGUGAAUUGCAGAAUUCAGUGAAUCAUCGAAUCUUUGAACGCACCUUGCGCCCCUUGGUAUUCCGAGGGGCAUGCCUGUUUGAGUGUCAUUAAAUUCUCAAACUCACAUUUAUUUGUGAUGUUUGGAUUGUUGGGGGUUGCUGGCUGUAACAAGUCGGCUCCUCUUAAAUGCAUUAGCAGGACUUCUCAUUGCCUCUGCGCAUGAUGUGAUAAUUAUCACUCAUCAAUAGCACGCAUGAAUAGAGUCCAGCUCUCUAAUCGUCCGCAAGGACAUUUUGACAAUUUGACCUCAAAUCAGGUAGGACUACCCGCUGAACUUAAGCAUAUCAAUAAGCGGAGGAAAAGAAACUAACAAGGAUUCCCCUAGUAACUGCGAGUGAAGCGGGAAAAGCUCAAAUUUAAAAUCUGG
rnacentral:rRNA from 1 species